AUACGAGGGGUGCAAGCGUUAAUCGGAAUUACUGGGCGUAAAGCGUUCGUAGGCGGUUUGUUAAGCAAGAUGUGAAAGCCCUGGGCUCAACCUGGGAACUGCAUUUUGAACUGGCAAGCUAGAAUACUGUAGAGGGUGGUGGAAUUUCCAGUGUAGCGGUGAAAUGCGUAGAGAUUGGAAGGAACAUCAGUGACGAAGGCGGCCACCUGGACAGAUAUUGACGCUGAGGAACGAAAGCGUGGGGAGCGAACAGGAGUAGAAACCCGGGUAGUCC
rnacentral:rRNA from 1 species